CAUAGGUUUGGUCCUGGCCUUCUUAUAAAUUUUUAGCAAAACUACACAUGCAAGACUCCCCAUACCUGUGAGAAUACCCUUAGUAUCUUAAACUGAUAUAAAGGAGUGGGUAUCAAGCACACUAUAUAGUAGCUAAAGACAUCUUGCCCAGCCACACCCCCACGGGAUACAGCAGUGAUUAAAAUUAAGCCAUGAACGAAAGUUUGACUAAGUUAUGCUAUUUAGAGUUGGUAAAUUUCGUGCCAGCCACCGCGGUUAUUCGAUUAACUCAAGUUAAUAGCAUUCGGCGUAAAGCGUGUUAUAUUUAUAAGAUAAGAUUAAAGUUAAGCUAUAACUAAGCCGUAAAAAGCCAUAGUUAGUAUAAAAAUAAACAACGAAGGUGACUUUAUAAGUCUAGAUUACACGACAGCUAGAUCCCAAACUGAGAUUAGAUACCUCACUAUGUCUAGCCGUAAACUUAAACUAUUAAAUUCAACAAAAUAGUUCGCCCGAGAACUACUAGCAACAGCUUAAAACUCAAAGGACUUGGCGGUGCUUUAUAUCCAUCUAGAGGAGCCUGUUCUAUAAUCGAUAAACCCCGCUUUACCUUACCACAUCUUGCUAAUUCAGCCUACAUACCGCCAUCUUCAGCAAACCUUAACAAAGAAAAAAAGUAAGCACAAGCAUUUACCAUUAAAACGUUAGGUCAAGGCGUAGCUUAUGAGGUGGAAAGUAAUGGGCUACAUUUUCUGUUUACAGAACAAAUUUAUACGCUAUCUCUUAUGAAACCUAAGAGACAAAGGCGGAUUUAGUAGUAAAUUAAGAUUAGAGAGCUUAAUUGAAUUGAGCAAUGAAGCGCGCACACACCGCCCGUCACCCUCCUCAAGUUAUCAUGUGAAUUUACAAUAUAUAAUUAAACCCACAACACGGUAUUAGAGGAGACAAGUCUUAACAAGGUAAGCAUACUGGAAAGUUUGCUUGGAACAAU
rnacentral:ncRNA from 1 species